CCAAAUUCCCCAAACCCUAGAAAAGUCAGAAACGACGGCCACACCCUAUUGUUCAUCUUCUUCACUGAGCCCAAUCCCAACUCGCCUGGAACUCACCCAAGUUCACUCAAAACGGUCCCCUCUCUCCACGUCAUUUGGUUAUUUUAUGGGUGUUAUUCCUUGGUCAUUCAUGAUGGGCUGUUUGUGAAGCUGUUUUGAGUCCAAAUAAAUCAUGUGCUAUUAGCUAUUUGUUGUGAAUUACUCCUGCUGCUACUGUUGACUCCUUCUUCUCCUCAUUACUUUUAAUUUUUCAGGUAUUUGUUUCUCUCCUGAUGUAUUGAUGCUGAGAUUGAAGUGGAAAUGCAAAUGAAAUUUUUUUACCCCUGUGCUUAUUGAGCUCUGCCUGUUUUGGACCACUAUGUAUUGAUGCCUAAAUAGUUUAGACAUAAUAGCUUAAUGUAGCUUAGUUAUGAUUUGCAUAUGACUGUACAAUUGGACUGAAACUAGAUUAUAAUUAGACUGUAUUAGAUGAUAGAUGUUCAAUUUAUGUACCGUAUGAAUUGGUCCGUGAAUUUGUUUCAUAAAGUAUAAAGCAAUCACAAUUACUUGAAGCUUUCGUUUAUAUAAUUGGGUUGUAGAAACGCAAGCUGUCUGCAAGUUGCCUCACCAGUAUGGUCUACUGUAGUUUAAUUUCCCUUAAGUAAUUAACCUGGUCCUAGAUUUCAAAUUGUUAGGCUAUAGUGGAUAUGUGAGUAAUUAGUGUGGAUACUUCCUUGCCUAAUGUAGUUUUGUUGAUGGUCCUUAUGUGCAAUGAAACAUGCGAAUAGGUAAACACUUAAACAAAACUGGGCCGUAAAAUUGGAGUUCGAACUCAUCCUUUCUAUAUUAACAAUUUAGGGUAGCAUAAGUUGAAUCUAUGUGAUGAUCGUGUUUUUCCAUUUUAAUAGCAAAUCCAGUAAUGGCAUUUAGUAAUCUUAGUUUGAAUCAACCUAAAAACAGUUAGGUUUUCACGAUCGUGUUUCCAGUCGCUAAAUAAAUAAGUAAUCCAAGCCUUAAACUAGGAUUCUGGUGAUCACUAUUUUACUGAAUUCGAAUAGGUCAAUAUGGUUUUUCUUUGAUUACAAUUGUUAAACAUGUUUUGAACAAUUUUGGCAAUCUCAGUGAAUAUUUCUUCAAUUUGAGUUGGGGAUGGAUUUGGUGUUAAUAAGCAGGGAUAAAUAGCCCACCUCGGACAUCUUGGACCUCAUGACCUUAACAGACCGCCCAGGUCCUUUCCUAAUAACGCGUGCAUUUAGACCCCGGCCCUGGUUUACACUUGGCUUGUUUCUUGGGCAUACAUGGAUUAUGGCUCCUUUAUAUGGGUACGUCCAAGGCCCGAACUGGAUAAGUGUCCGAGUCUACAUGAAUUCUUGGACCUAAAUAUAAUAGGUCUUAAAUAAUGAGUAAAUUAGGAUUUUUCUUUUUUUUUUUUAGAGACAAAUAAAAUAAAGAAUUAGAGAUGUUUUAGGUUGCCCUUUUAAAUAAUAAAAUGAAAUGAGACUCGCCUAAUAAAAUGCAAUAAUUUCGGGGCCCUCAUUAAAUGUAUAUAUUAAAAUACAUAGAUUUAGGGACGUGCCGUUUAGUGAAUUUCACGGCUUUUCACAAAAUAAUAACAUGUUAGUCUCUUUAGGCGCGUAUUUUAAUAACAUUACCUCCCUAAACUCGGGUGCGCAUUUAUGUGACCCAAAUCCAAAUCUCAACGAUGUUAAAAUAUGUCAAAAACUACGAGUGCAUUUAUGUGACGUGGUUCAAGACUUGUUUCAAUAACGUUGCAAUUUUCUUUAAAAAAUAAAUAAAAAACAGUUAAAGUUAAAAUUUGCGCAUAAGUUCAUAAUUAUUAAAAUCAGAUAAUUAAAGCUAAAUAUCAACGAUGUUAAAAUAUGUCAAAAACUACGAGUGCAUUUAUGUGACGUGGUUCAAGACUUAUUUCAAUGACGUUGCAAUUUUAUUAAAAAAUAAAUAAAAACGGUUAAAGUUAAAAUUUGCGCAUAAGUUCAUAAUUAUUAAAAUCAGAUAAUUAAAGCCAAAUAUAAUAAUUGAGCGACCAUGCUAUAAUCACGGAACUCGGGAAUGCCUAACACCUUCUCCUAGGUUAACAGAAUUCCUUACUCGGAUUUCUGGUUUGCGGACUGUAAUACACAGUCAAUCUUUUCCUCGAUUCGGGAUUCAACCGGUAACUUGGGACACCAUAAAUCUCCCAAGUGGAGACUCUUAAUCUUUAAUAAUAAAUCUCAUUUGUUUAUCCUUUAAUUGGAAAAACUCUCUUACGCCCCUCCGAGGGAAGGAAAAAGAAGGUGUGACAUCACCACUGGUCAGCAUUAUAAGCCACGUCUUGGCUUCGGUUUUUAUGCACAAACAACAGUGUCGAGUAUGAAGCCUGCAUUAUGGGUAUGAACAUGGAAAUCAACCAAGAUGUCAAAGAAUUUUUAAUCGUGGGAGAUUCAGAUCUGAUUAUCCAACAAGCUCAAGGAGAAUGGGAGACCCGGGAUGUCAAGCUUAUUCCUUACUUCAAGCACGUGGAGGAACUUAGCAGGCGAUUCAAGUCAAUAGAUUUCAAGUCCAUCCCUCGUUGUCACAAUGAACUGGCCGAUGCACUUGCUACUUUGGUCUCGAUGCUGCCAUACGCAGGUAAUGCCCAUAUUGAUCCAUUGGAAAUCCAAAUCCGGAAAAGCACAGUUAAUGCAAUACGGUUGAGGCAGAACCAAAUAUUUAGCCAUUGUAUCAUGAUAUAAAGAGGUUUUAUGAAAACUAAAGAAUAUCCCGAGCAAGCCGGCGGACACCAAAAGAGAACCAUUAGACGGUACCCAGGUGGUUUCUUUUUGAGUGGUGAUGUCUUCUACAAAAGGACUCUGGAUCUCAACUUUAAGGUGUGUUGAUGCCAAAGAGGCCGGAAGAAUCAUGUAUGAAGUGCACACAGGAAUGUGUGGGCCCCACAUGAACGGCUAUCUUUUGGCAAAGAAGAUCCUCCAAGCAGGUUAUUACUGGAUGACUAUGGAAAAGAUUGCUUCAGUUUCGUCUGGAAAUGUCAUUAGUGUCAGGUGCACGGUGAUUUGAUUCAUGCACUGCCUACAAAACUGAAGCGAAUGGCCGCACUCUGCCAUGGACAGUUGUAUCAACAAAGAAUGGUUUGUGCCUACAACAAGAAAAUGCGGCCUAAAAACUUUGAAGUGGGGCAACUCAUUUUAAGGCGUAUUCUUCCCAAUCAUCAGGAAGCAAAAGAAAAUUUUUCUCCUAAUUGGAAAGGCCCAUACAUUAUUAGAAAAUUGGUUCAAAAGGGGCAUUAUAUCUGGGAGACAUUGAAGGAAAUGGCCCUGAAACAGCUGUAAAUGCAGAUGCAGUCAAGAGGUACUAUGUCUAAUCCUUCUGCAGAAAUAACAUUAUCCGAUUGGGAUGAUGAAGACUUUCAUUCUCGCUACCCCAAACACUCAAAUCCUUUGCUAACCCUUUGAUCCGGUUACCUUUCUUUCAUUACCCUCUUUGGAACUUGAAGAUGUUUUGAAAAAAAUUCAAAAGAAAAGAAAAGAAAAGAAAAAGAAAAAACUACAACAAAACAAUAAAAACAAAAUGUUUCCCUGAACUACGUUCGACUUGAUUCUGAAAGGAUACGUAGGCAUCCUCUCUCUGGGGUUUAGUCAUAACAAAAUAAAAAUCCAAUUUCCCCCAACUCUGAAACUGCGGCAGAUAUUAUAAUAGUUCGGCGAUGAUCCAACCUGAAUAGUUCCAAAGUUGUAAUUCGAUCCACGUUAUUUUUACCCAAACUCGUUCAAGUCCUUCCGACCAAUCAAUAUGAGGUUUUCAAAAUCAAAGAAUGCAGUUGUUUGGAUCCGAUGUAAUCAAGAUAAGAGAAAUAAAAUGAGAGAGUCUUAUUGGUGAAAACCUACGUGCAUCGUGAGGCAACGGUGAGCAGAGAAACUAAAAAAAUGAGAGAGUCUUGUUAGUUCAAGAGCACUAUAAGGCGACAAUGAGAAGAGAAAUGAGAGAGGUCAAUUGGCGAAAACCCGCACAGGGCACCGUUGAUCGAAAAGACGAAACCCCUCACCACCAUUGAUACUAAUAGAGUCCUCGCAAGGUUUCUCGGUUUUUAAACAUGGGUAACAAUGGGUUUAUGAGAGAGUAGAUAGUUGUGCAGAUCAGGUAUCCAGUCUAAAAAGCAUGUCAUGUCUAUUGAAGUAUGCAUGCACUCCAGAUAUGUCAUUCUUUCCUCCCCGGAAGGGACAUUUCUCCCUAAAUUCACUUUCUUGUCCUUUGUUUACUUUUCUUUGAAUCCCUUUCGCUCUAACUCUGUUCCGAAACUAACACAAAAAAAGGUGGAAAGAUUGGUUUUACAGGGUUCGCUUAAUAAAAGCCAAGUCCAAAGAAAAGUACCCAGCCUCAGCGGUUGCAUCAAGUCGAUCCCCACUGGCCAUGAUGGUCGAUGCUCUAAUAUCAAAGUUAUUGAAAAUGAAAAGAAAUCCAAAGUCAAAAGCCCCUAGAGAUAGAAUAAGGUGAAAGGUCCAAAGCCCUAUACGGGUGAACCUUCAUGAGAAAUUUUGGAAAUAGUUGAGUUUCUCGAUUUUAGAAGAAAGAGCAGCUUUCAGAAAAGCCAGCGAGCAACAGAGGUUCUCACCAAAAGAAAGGCCAAGAUCAAGUGAUAAAAAAUGAUCAUGGCCACAAAAUCAACCACUGUUUCAAACUAACAAUUGUUCUUUGAUUGAAAAUUUUUGAAACAAGUACAAUCCAAAACAACCAUGCAAGAAGCAGGUGCAACCAAAGAGGAAAAAGAAAUGUGCAAGUGCUAGAAACAGCUUUGCAACAACAAUCCAUAAAAGGAAAGUCCUGUCCAAAUUUUUUCUUGCAUUUACCCAUUCCAUGAAAUGAAAUAAAAAAAGGAAAAUGAAAUGAAAAAGAGAGAUAAGAAGAGAAUCCAAAAAAUGGCAGUUCAGAAUCCCCAAUCUCAAUCUUUUACCCUUUUGCCAACAUAUGGCUCUAAUCCGUAGUUGAGAUUUUAGAUAUAGAGUCUCCAAUCCCUAGUCGCCUUUUGCCAACAUAGAGAUCCAAUCCCUAAUUGAGAUUUUAGACAUAGGGCUUCCAUUCCUUAGUCGCCUUUUGCCAACAUAGGGCUCUAAUCCCUAGUUGAGAUUAUUUUUAGAUGUAGGGUCUCCAUCCCCUAUCCUUUUUCCAACAUAGGGAUCCAAUCCCUAGUUGAGAUUAUUUUCAGAUAUAAGGUCUCCAUACCCUAGUUGCCUUUUGCCAACAUAGGUCUCCAAUAGCUAGUUGAAAUUUUUAGACAUAGGGUCUCCAUACCCUAGUCGCAUUUUUCCAACAUAGGACUCCAAUCCCUAGUUGAGAUUUUUAGACACAGGGCCUCCAUCCCCUAGUAGCAUUUUGCCAACAUAAAAUCUCCAAUCCCUAGUUGAGAUUUUAGACAUAAGGUCUCCAUCCCCUAGUUUCCCUUUGGCAACAUAGGGUCUCCAACCCCUAGUUGAGAUUUUUAGACAUAGGGUCUCCAUCCUCUAAUCGCCUUUCGCCAACAUAGCACAUCCACUCCCUAGUUGAGGUUAUGUUUGAUAUAGGGCUCCACUCCCUAAUCUCUUUAUCCUAAAGACACAUGAUCCUUAUUUUAUUACUUUCAAUAGAGAAAUAGUUCAGAUUUUAGUUACAAAUAACUCACGAGAUUUUCCUAGUGAAAACUGGGACAGAAAAAUUUCAUUCAUUUGUGUGUUUUGGUGUUUGAGUAGGUUUGACCUCGAG
rnacentral:lncRNA from 1 species